rnacentral:tRNA from 4 species
GGGCCCGUAGCUCAGCCAGGUAGAGUACCGGACUUUUAAUCCGGCUGUCUGGGGUUCGAAUCCCCACGGGCCCG